rnacentral:rRNA from 1 species
GCAAGUCGAACGGUAAGGCCCCUUCGGGGGUACACGAGUGGCGCGCGGGUGAGUAACGCGUGGGUAAUCUACCGUCGGGUCUGGGACAACUCCGGGAAACUGGAGCUAAUACCGGAUAAGACCACGAGGUCUUCGGACUUCGCGGAAAAAGGUGGCCUCUUCUUGAAAGCUACCGCCUGUUGAUGAGCCCGCGUCCCAUUAGCUUGUUGGUGAGGUAACGGCUCACCAAGGCGACGAUGGGUAGCUGGUCUGAGAGGAUGAUCAGCCACACUGGAACUGAGACACGGUCCAGACUCCUACGGGAGGCAGCAGUCGGGAAUCUUGUGCAAUGGGGGAAACCCUGACACAGCAACGCCGCGUGAGGGAUGAAGGCCCUAGGGUCGUAAACCUCUGUCGGGAGGGAAGAAUUCUCCGGGGGUGAAUAAUCCUCGGAGUUGACGGUACCUCCAAAGGAAGCGCCGGCUAACUCCGUGCCAGCAGCCGCGGUAAUACGGAGGGCGCAAGCGUUGUUCGGAAUCAUUGGGCGUAAAGCGCGUGUAGGCGGCUUGGUAAGUCGGGCGUGAAAGCCCGGGGCUCAACCCCGGAAUGGCGCUCGAAACUGCCUG